rnacentral:rRNA from 1 species
GAGUUUGAUCAUGGCUCAGAUUGAACGCUGGCGGCAUGCCUUACACAUGCAAGUCGAACGGCAGCAUGAUCUGGCUUGCUAGAUUGAUGGCGAGUGGCGAACGGGUGAGUAAUACAUCGGAACGUGCCCUGUAGUGGGGGAUAACUAGUCGAAAGAUUAGCUAAUACCGCAUACGACCUGAGGGUGAAAGUGGGGGACCGCAAGGCCUCAUGCUAUAGGAGCGGCCGAUGUCUGAUUAGCUAGUUGGUGGGGUAAAGGCCCACCAAGGCGACGAUCAGUAGCUGGUCUGAGAGGACGAUCAGCCACACUGGGACUGAGACACGGCCCAGACUCCUACGGGAGGCAGCAGUGGGGAAUUUUGGACAAUGGGGGCAACCCUGAUCCAGCAAUGCCGCGUGUGUGAAGAAGGCCUUCGGGUUGUAAAGCACUUUUGUCCGGAAAGAAAUCGCACUUACUAAUAUUAGGUGUGGAUGACGGUACCGGAAGAAUAAGGACCGGCUAACUACGUGCCAGCAGCCGCGGUAAUACGUAGGGUCCAAGCGUUAAUCGGAAUUACUGGGCGUAAAGCGUGCGCAGGCGGUUGUGCAAGACCGAUGUGAAAUCCCCGGGCUUAACCUGGGAAUUGCAUUGGUGACUGCACGGCUAGAGUGUGUCAGAGGGGGGUAGAAUUCCACGUGUAGCAGUGAAAUGCGUAGAGAUGUGGAGGAAUACCGAUGGCGAAGGCAGCCCCCUGGGAUAACACUGACGCUCAUGCACGAAAGCGUGGGGAGCAAACAGGAUUAGAUACCCUGGUAGUCCACGCCCUAAACGAUGUCAACUAGUUGUUGGGGAUUCAUUUCCUUAGUAACGUAGCUAACGCGUGAAGUUGACCGCCUGGGGAGUACGGUCGCAAGAUUAAAACUCAAAGGAAUUGACGGGGACCCGCACAAGCGGUGGAUGAUGUGGAUUAAUUCGAUGCAACGCGAAAAACCUUACCUACCCUUGACAUGCCACUAACGAAGCAGAGAUGCAUUAGGUGCUCGAAAGAGAAAGUGGACACAGGUGCUGCAUGGCUGUCGUCAGCUCGUGUCGUGAGAUGUUGGGUUAAGUCCCGCAACGAGCGCAACCCUUGUCUCUAGUUGCUACGAAAGGGCACUCUAGAGAGACUGCCGGUGACAAACCGGAGGAAGGUGGGGAUGACGUCAAGUCCUCAUGGCCCUUAUGGGUAGGGCUUCACACGUCAUACAAUGGUGCAUACAGAGGGUUGCCAAGCCGCGAGGUGGAGCUAAUCCCAGAAAAUGCAUCGUAGUCCGGAUCGUAGUCUGCAACUCGACUACGUGAAGCUGGAAUCGCUAGUAAUCGCGGAUCAGCAUGCCGCGGUGAAUACGU